GCUGGGCACGGUGGCUCAUGCCUGUAAUUCCAGUACAUUGGGAGGCUGAGGUGGGAGGAUUGCUUGAGCCCAGGAGUUUGAGACCAGCCUGGGCAACAUAGUGAGACCCCACCUCUA
ensembl:misc_RNA Metazoa_SRP Metazoan signal recognition particle RNA